rnacentral:tRNA from 1 species
GGAGGGAACAGGUCAGUGGUAGAACGCGUGCUUGGUGUGCAUGAGGUCCUGGAGUCAAUCCCCAGUGCCUCCG